GGGAGUGGAGCACAAGUGGUGUGAGGAGAGGCUGAGGGAGCUGGGGGUGUUGAGGCUGGAGAAGAGGAGGCUCAGGGGAGACCUCCUGACUCUCUGCAAGUCCCUGCCAGGAGGGUGUAGCCAGGUGGGGGUGGGGCUGUUCUGCCAGGAAGCAGCAGUAGGACAAGAGGGCUGGGUCUGGAGCUGUGCCAGGGGAGGUUUAGGUUGGAUAUUAGGAAGGAAUUUUUUCGGGAGAGAGUAAUCAGGCCUUGGAAUGGGCUGGGCAGGGAGGAGGUGGAGUCAGCGUCCCUGGAGGUGUUGAAGGUGAGAGUGGAUGUGGCAUCAGUGCCAUGGUCUGGGAAGCACGGCGGGGUUGGAUCCAGGGUGGGACUCAAUGAUCUCGGAGGUCUUUUCCAACCCAGCUGAUUCUGUGAUUCUCUGAUUGCCAUUCCUAUGGCAGCACAUGCUUGAGGCUCCAUCCCCAGGGUGAUAGAGAUGUCUGUCCAUAUCUAUCUCCAAGGUUCCUGUCCUUGAGCCCAGGCCCUGAGGUGAGGCUGAGAAGUGGCCCAGAGGUGAGCCCAGAGCUGUCCCUGAGGUGAGGCUGAGAAUAAGUGCAAGGCAGAGGUGCUGCUGAGGAAGGAGAGCCCCGUGGUGGGGAAGAGACAAAGCUGGGAGUGCCCAUCCCCGAGAAGGUUCUGUCUCCAUCCCCUGUGUGCCAGGAUUUGUCCUUCCCAAAGCUUGGGCGGAUGGAGGAGGAGGCUGCGAGGAAGAGGAAGAUGCCUUGGGCCCCCCAGGCAGGUGAGGA